UCAAACCAUUUUGCAUGAUGGACCUCUGGAUUCUUGGUUGAGAUGGUGGUGUCGUUUGAAGGUCAAUAACCAAUCCCAUGAAUAAGUCGGAAUUUUGAAGUCAAUUUUAUCCUUCACCGUGAUUUUUACUUAUUCAGGUUGCUGAAAUCUUAAAAGAUCGACCCUAAUGAUUUCGUGCUUGCCAAGCUGUGGAUGUCCUUAAUGCGAUAUCUACUGGAAACGGUGGAACCAUUGAACUUCUUUAUAUGCAGCUCUAUGCCCCUACUACUGUGGCACUAGCUCAUGACUUUUGGCUAUUACACUAUAUGCCUGUGAUGGAAGAUGGCAGUCUCGUUGUCUGUGAAAGAUCGCUGCACAACACUCAGAAUGGUCCCAGUAUGCCACUUGUUCAGCAUUUUGUAAGAGCUGAAAUACUGCCAAGCGGAUACUUGAUCAGACCUUGUGAAGGAGAUGGCUCCAUAAUCCAUAUAGUUGACCACAUAGACUUAGAGCCAUGGGGUGUGCCUGAAGUGACCCGCCCACUAUAUGAACUGUCAACAUUGCUUGCUCAGAAGACAACAAUGGCGGCUUUACACCAAUUAAGACAGAUCUCACAUGAAGUUUCUUAGCCUACUGUCACAGGAUGGGGAAGAAGACCUGCAGCAUUAUGAGCACUCAGCCAAUGAUUGAGCAAGGAUUUCAAUGAGGCUGUAAAUGGUUUUACAGAUGAGGGAUGGUCUAUGCUUGACAGUGAUGGCAUUGAUGAUGUUAUUGUUCUUGUGAACUCUUCUCUCAGCAAAUUGAUGGGACUAAAGUUUCAUCCGUCAGCAAUGUAGUGCCAUGUGCCAAGGCCUCCAUGCUUUUAUAGGUGAAAGCAAUGAUCAUGGAGGUAGAAGUAGAUGAAGAAGAUGGAAGAUUAUGUGAUGGUGAUUUGGAUGGAGGCUUCAAUAUUAUUUUUACUAAAACCCUUGAGCAGCAAAUGGAAUUGUGCCCAACCGCUGAAUGUUAUUUUUCUGUUGGAAGCUUUGUGUUUUUUUUUUUACAGUUAUUUUGGAUUUUGUUCUGUUUUUUCCCUUUGUGUACAUAGAAGUUUUGCUCCAAAGAAAACAUGUGGUGACAUGUUCACUACUAUUGUCCAUGACUUUCCUUUUUUUCCCCAAAAA